rnacentral:rRNA from 1 species
UACGUAGGGGGCAAGCGUUGUCCGGAAUCAUUGGGCGUAAAGCGCGCGUAGGUGGCCCGGUAAGUCCGCUGUAAAAGUCCAGGGCUCAACCCUGGAAAGCCGGUGGAUACUGUCGGGCUCGAGUCCGGAAGAGGCGAGUGGAAUUCCUGGUGUAGCGGUGGAAUGCGCAGAUAUCAGGAGGAACACCGAUGGCGAAGGCAGCUCGCUGGGACGGUACUGACGCUGGAGGCGCGAAAGCGUGGG